GGAGUUUGGACCGUCUCUCAGUUCCAAUGUGGCCGAUCACCCUCUCAGGUCGGCUACCGAUCGUUGCUUUGGUAGGCCGUUACCCUGCCAACUGGCUAAUCUGACGCGGGCCCAUCUCAUACCACCGGAGUUUUUCACACUGUAUCAUGCGAUACUGUGCGCUUAUGCGGUAUUAACAGUCGUUUCCAGCUGUUAUCCCCCAGUAUGAGGCAGGUUGCCCACGCGUUACUCACCCGUCCGCCACUAAGAUUUAACAAGAAUCCGCCGAAGCCUCAUCAGCGUUAAAUCUCCGUUCGACUUGCAUGUGUUAGGCACGCCGCCAGCGUUCACUCCUGAGCCAGGAUACAAACUCU
rnacentral:rRNA from 1 species